UCCGGUUUGACACCGGCAGUCCCUCCAGAGCUCCAUCUCUGGUGCUCGCGACCGGGAUGUCAAAGGCUGGUAAGGUUCUUCGCGUUGCUUCGAAUUGAACCACAUGCUCCACCGCUUGUGCGGGCCCCCGUCAAUUCCUUUGAGUUUUAAUCUUGCGACCGUACUCCCCAGGCGGGAUGCUUAAUGCGUUAGCUGCGCCACUGAAGGGUAAACCCACCAACGGCUAGCAUCCAUCGUUUACGGCGUGGACUAC
rnacentral:misc_RNA from 1 species